rnacentral:rRNA from 1 species
AGUGAACGCUGGCGGUAGGCCUAACACAUGCAAGUCGAACGGCAGCACAGGAGAUCUUGCUCUCUAGGUGGCGAGUGGCGGACGGGUGAGGAUUACAUCGGAAUCUGCCCAGUCGUGGGGGAUAACGUAGGGAAACUUACGCUAAUACCGCAUACUACCUUCGGGUGAAAGAGGGGGAUCGCAAUACCUCUCGCGAUUGGAUGAGCCGAUAUCGGAUUCGCUAGUUAGCGGGGUAAUGGCCCACCAAGGCGACGAUCCGUAGCUGGUCUGAGAGGGUGAUCAGGCAGACUGGAACUGAGACACGGUACAGACUCCGACGGGGGGACGCAGUGGGGAAUAUUGGACAAGGGGCGCAAGCCGGAUCCAGCGAUACCGCGUGGGUGAAGAAGGCCUUCGGGUUGGAAAGUCAUUUUGUUGGGAAAGAAAUCUAUCAGGCUAACACGCUGGGAGGAUGACGGUACCCAAAGAAUAAGCACCGGCUAACUUCGUG